rnacentral:rRNA from 1 species
CUUAGUGAGGUCUCCGGAUUGGCUUUGGCGCACCGGCAACGGAAUGCUAUCGCUGAGAAGUUGAUCAAACUUGGUCAUUUAGAGGAAGUAAAAGUCGUAACAAGGUUUCCGUAGGUGAACCUGCGGAAGGAUCAUUAUUGAAAUAAACCUGAUGGGUUGUUGCUGGUUCUCUAGGGAGCAUGUGCACACCUUGUCAUCUUUAUAUCUCCACCUGUGCACUUUUUGUAGACCUUUCAGGUCUAUGUUGCUUCAUUUACCCCAAUGUAUGUUAAUAGAAUGUUGUGCCUAUAUAAUAUAUACAACUUUCAGCAACGGAUCUCUUGGCUCUCGCAUCGAUGAAGAACGCAGCGAAAUGCGAUAAGUAAUGUGAAUUGCAGAAUUCAGUGAAUCAUCGAAUCUUUGAACGCACCUUGCGCUCCUUGGUAUUCCGAGGAGCAUGCCUGUUUGAGUGUCAUUAAUAUAUCAACCUUCUCUUGUUUGAGUUGUUUGGAUGUGGGGGUUUGCUGGACUCUUUAAUGAAUUCAGCUCCCCUGAAAUGCAUUAGCAGAACAACCUGUUCAUUGGCGUGAUAAUUAUCUAUGCUAUUGAAUGUGAGGGCAGUUCAGCUUUCUAAUCGUCCUUGGACAAUUUAUCAUUAAUGUGACCUCAAAUCAGGUAGGACUACCCGCUGAACUUAAGCAUAUCAAUAAGCGGAGGAAAAGAAACUAACAAGGAUUCCCCUAGUAACUGCGAGUGAAGCGGGAAAAGCUCAAAUUUAAAAUCUGGCGGCCUUUUUGCUGUCCGAGUUGUAAUCUAGAGAAGUGUUAUCCGCGCUGGACCGUGUACAAGUCUCCUGGAAUGGAGCAUCAUA